CGGGCGGGAUUAGGAGCCUGUCUGCAUGCCCCCAAAGCACCGCGGCAUCUCUUCACCUCUGCACUCACCUGCCUUCUGUCCCACUGCAAGGACCUCAGGACAGGAACCAGGGUUUCCAGCCCAAGGCUGCGGCCCCACCCACCACCUAGCACAGUGCCUGGAAAGCACCAGUUUCAUGCUCCUCUGUCCUCGCUCAUCAGCGCUGGCGCAGCCGCCGAGUCUUCUAACCGGCCCCUGCCACGUGUGACAAGAGCUUCGGAGUCCUGGAAGGUGAAAUAGACGGGUUUUCGCCAGGAUGCCCAGGCUGGUCUUCAACUCCUGUACUCAAGCAAUCCACCCACCUCGGCCUCCCACAGUGCUGGGAUUACAAGUGUGAGCCACCACGCCCAGCAAAGACUGGAUUCUUGUCACUGGAAUAUAGAUGUAAGCAACAUACAUCACUUCCAUGCAAAGCUGGGCCCCAAAUCCUCCUGUGAGAUCCUCCACACACUCUAUCUUCCCUCAUUUCCUGGCUGGUUACAGAAGGUCUGGUGAAGGACUCUUGAGGCCCCUGGAAGAUGGUGACGCAUUUGGUGGAAGAAGUCUGAGUCCUCACAUCACAGCGGAAGGCCACCUACCAAACACCCCCUAUGACAGACCCAAGUGAGAAAUAACCUGAGGUCUCUAGUCUGAGUCCUCACAUCGCAGCAGAAGGCCACCUACCAAACACCCACCAUGACAGACCCAAGUGAGAAAAAGCCUGAGGUCUCCAGGAUCAUUUGCUGAUUACACAGAGAAACAAGCACCAGGAGUGUUCGUUGAGUAUCAGAUAGUUUCCAGUUCUGCCACUUGUGACCUUGGAGUUCUGCAGUGACCUCAGACAACUCACUGAACCUCACUGAACCUCUCGUCUGUCCACAGCGCCAUGGCCUCUCCUUAUCGUAAGGACCUUCCAGCUCCAUGACUCCGUUCGUGGGGGAACUGGGAUAGGAGAGUGUGGGCUGUGCCUAUAUGAACAGGGCUACUACGCCAUUUGGGGGCUCAACAGUCGUUGCAGGUAAUUGAUAACGCUCAUCUCAAGGCUUAUUUACCUCUAGGACAUUAGGGAGAAAAUCUGCCCUUCGGAAAUUCACUGUCAGCUUGCAUGGGGUAGAAGCCCCAUCAGAGCUGAAGGCGGUUUGCUGAGCUGUAGGCUGGUGGGGGGGAGUUGUGAGGCAGUGACGGGGCAGGAAGAUCAGCAUUUGGGGGGUGGUUCUUAAUUAGGAUCCAUCUUGAUUGCAGGCUCCAGCUGUUUGUUUUCCCUGUUUAACUACCCCGAACAGCUCCUCAGCACGCACUGAUUAAUUGAUUAAUAAAUCAAGAGGCCUCUUUACACUGCAGCAGCAAGGGGUGGCUCAGGAGGGAGACACUCAAGACAGCCAGACACAAUGAUGGGAAGCAAUGGGAGGUUCAGGUUGAGCGAGUCUGGUUGAGGAAGUGAUGCAAACCAUAUGAGGCCUGUCUCGAGGCGUCCUCCUCGAUGACAGGGCCAGAGAGUCUCUAAUCACAACUCAGAGCGUGUAGCAGGACCUGAAACGGCCCCUUAGGGGCUGUUCCAGAACAGAGCGUCACCUCAGUUUACAGAAAAACAGGUCCCAGAGGGUUAAAAGCGUGGACUAUGCCUAGAUUUCUUGACCACCAGUUCAUGAUUUUUCACUUUAAGCCAAAGAGCCAUAUCCAUCAAUAGAUUCCUAUUUUCCCACGGACACAGAAGGGUUCCAGCCCCAUGUUUUCACUAGGAAAUGUUCAUUCAUUCAAACGGGAUUUAUUUGGGCCCC
rnacentral:lncRNA from 1 species